rfam:Bacillus bataviensis LMG 21833 contig36, whole genome shotgun sequence.
AUUGAAACAAUGACGGGGAUUAGUAAAGUGAAAUGGUCUUAUCAAGAGAGGAAACCAAUGGUGCGAGGUUUCUUAAGACAGUCAUUUGAACCUGCCUCUGAGUUCUGUAUCGGAUGCACUUGAAGAUACAUGCGGAUAAACUCCGUUACCAUGGAAAGAGUAUAAAGCACUUGCUUUAUGAAGUUAGGGUGGUACCGCCAGGCCUUGGUCCCUUUU